rnacentral:rRNA from 1 species
CAGCCCUUGACAUGCCCGGCUACUUGCAGAGAUGCAAGGUUCCCUUCGGGGACCGGGACACAGGUGCUGCAUGGCUGUCGUCAGCUCGUGUCGUGAGAUGUUGGGUUAAGUCCCGCAACGAGCGCAACCCUCGCCCUUAGUUGCCAGCAUUCAGUUGGGCACUCUAAGGGGACUGCCGGUGAUAAGCCGAGAGGAAGGUGGGGAUGACGUCAAGUCCUCAUGGCCCUUACGGGCUGGGCUACACACGUGCUACAAUGGUGGUGACAGUGGGCAGCGAGCACGCGAGUGUAAGCUAAUCUCCAAAAGCCAUCUCAGUUCGGAUUGCACUCUGCAACUCGAGUGCAUGAAGUUGGAAUCGCUAGUAAUCGCGGAUCAGCAUGCCGCGGUGAAUACGUUCCC